rnacentral:rRNA from 1 species
UACGUAGGGGGCAAGCGUUGUCCGGAAUCAUUGGGCGUAAAGCGCGUGUAGGCGGUCCGGUAAGUCGGUUGUGAAAGUCCAGGGCUCAACCCUGGGAUGCCGAUCGAUACUGCCGGACUAGAGUCCGGAAGAGGCGAGUGGAAUUCCCGGUGUAGCGGUGAAAUGCGCAGAUAUCGGGAGGAACACCCAUGGCGGAGGACGCGAGCCCUGGUCGUGGACG